rnacentral:rRNA from 1 species
CGUAGGAGGCAAACGUUAUCCGGAUUUACUGGGCGUAAAGCGCGUGUAGGUGGUUCUGUAAGUAGGGCGUGAAAGCUCCUGGCUCAACUGGGAGAGGCCGUUCUAAACUGCAGAGCUAGAGGAUGGUAGAGGGAGGUGGAAUUCCGGGUGUAGCGGUGGAAUGCGCAGAUAUCCGGAGGAACACCAGUGGCGAAAGCGGCCUCCUGGACCAUUCCUGACACUCAGACGCGAAAGCUAGGGUAGCAAACGGGAUUAGAGACCCCGGUAGUCCUAGCCCUAAACGAUGUAGACUUGGCGUCGGUGGCUUAAUCGUCAUCGGUGUCGUAGCUAACGCGAUAAGUCUACCGCCUGGGGACUACGGCCGCAAGGUUAAAACUCAAAGGAAUUGACGGGUCCCCGCACAAGCAGCGGAGCGUGUGGUUUAAUUCGUUGCUACACGAAGAACCUUACCUGGGUUUGACAUAGCAGUGGAAGGGAAGCGAAAGCGGACCGACCCUUCGGGGAGCUGUUACAGGUGUUGCAUGGCUGUCGUCAGCUCGUGUCGUGAGAUGUUCGGUUAAGUCCGCUAACGAGCGCAACCCGCGUUGUGUGUUACAAGUGUCACACAAUACCGCCGGUAUUAAGUCGGAGGAAGGUGCGGAUGACGUCAAGUCAGCAUGACCUUUAUAUCCAGGGCUACACACACGCUACAAUGGUCAGCACAAUAGGUUGCCGAGUCGUGAGACGGAGCCAAUCCUCCAAAGCUGGCCUCAGUUCAGAUUGCAGGCUGCAACUCGCCUGCAUGAAGUUGGAGUUGCUAGUAACCGCAGGUCAGCUAUACUGCGGUGAAUACGUUCCCGGGGAUU